AUUGAACGCUGGCGGCAUGCCUUACACAUGCAAGUCGAACGGCAGCACGGGAGCAAUCCUGGUGGCGAGUGGCGAACGGGUGAGUAAUACAUCGGAACGUGCCCAGUAGUGGGGGAUAGCCCGGCGAAAGCCGGAUUAAUACCGCAUACGACCUAUGGGUGAAAGCGGGGGAUCGCAAGACCUCGCGCUAUUGGAGCGGCCGAUGUCGGAUUAGCUAGUUGGUGGGGUAAAGGCUUACCAAGGCUACGAUCCGUAGCUGGUCUGAGAGGACGACCAGCCAAACUGGGACUGAGACACGGCCCAGACUCCUACGGGAGGCAGCAGUGGGGAAUUUUGGACAAUGGGCGCAAGCCUGAUCCAGCCAUGCCGCGUGCGGGAAGAAGGCCUUCGGGUUGUAAACCGCUUUUGUCAGGGAAGAAACGGUCUGGGUUAAUACCUGGGGCUCAUGACGGUACCGUAAGAAUAAGCACCGGCUAACUACGUGCCAGCCGCCGCCGUAACAC
rnacentral:rRNA from 1 species